rnacentral:lncRNA from 1 species
UAAUUUUUUAGAUCACGUGAAGGAAAUGAUCUUUACAUGGAAAUGAAAGAAUUUGAAGUGAUUAAUGAAGAAAAUAUUGCAGAAUUAAAAGUGGCUCUAGUUUACGGCCAAAUGAAUGAACCACCUGGAGCUCGUAUGAGAGUUGGUUUGACCGCCCUAACUAUGGCGGAAUAUUUUCGAGAUGUUAAUGAACAAGGCGUACUUCUAUUUAUCGACAAUAUCUUCCGUUUCUUCCAAGCAAGAUUCGAAGUAUCGACCUUAUUGGGUAGAAUGUCUUCCGUUGUCGGUUAUCUUAUUGGUCACAAU